rnacentral:lncRNA from 1 species
UUCCAUCAAGAUCUCAUCAGGGAGAGUCAGUACAAAUCAGAUUUUAAACAUUUUGCAAAUUUCUUUUCAAUACCCCGAUUUGUGGCACCGGGGGAGAAAAUUUUAAUGACAUCUAGCUCCAGUUCAGCCACAAACAAUGUGUUUCAUCAAACAUGUUUCCAACAAUCUGUAUCAUGCAUUAACAUCUUUUCUUUUUGGCACACCAUAUAUCACGUUCAGCUCAUUUUUUGCCUCGAGUAACAAAUAUAUCCAGUUUUCUCCUUCUUAAUACAUAAAAUAAUCCCAACAUACAAUCUGAUCCAUAAUCUCUCGCCUACAAUCUCCGAUCCAGUAGAUUUUUAACCUCCAGCAACAAAAUCAACCAGUUUUCUUGUUCUUAAUCCAUGAACUAACCCCAAAAUACCAACUAACCCGUUAUUCUCGUUUUUAAUCUUCAGAUCAUAAAAUUUUAAACCUUCAACAACAAAUUCAACCAGUUUUCUCAUUUUUAAUCCAGCAACUAAUCUCAAUAUGCCAACUAUUCCAUAAUCUCCUUUUAAUCUCAUGUUCAAUUUUUACACCUCCGGCACUAAAUUCAACCAGCUUUCUCCAUAAACAAACCCCAAUAUGCCAACAAUAAAAAAAAUUAAAGAACCCUAGAAACCCACCAAGAUUUUAAGCAUAAUUACUUUAAAAACGUUUCCUACACAAUUUUAAAUCCCCAAAAUCGAUAACACAACAAGGGAAUAGAAAAACCCACAAACAAACGAGCACGAAAUGUAGUCAAUUGAGCAUAGGAUUCCAAAAUUGAAAUUAUUAUUAUUAUAUAUUAUGAUUAAAAAUAAAAAGAAGGUGAAGAAAUAGAAAAGUAUGAACAUAUUACCGCUUCCGGUUUGCCGAUGAGUUUGGCUACAGUGGAAGUGGCUUCAGAGAGGAUGGAGGAGGUGUCAAUGCCCUCCAGGCUCACGUUAGUCGACAGAUUCAGGCACGGCAUUUUUUCCAACAAAAUAUUUCUCUCUCGCACUGAGGCCACACACACUGGUAUGUUCUCUAUUUUGUUAUCCAAAGAGGAAAAAAGUAAAAAAUAUUCGAAACACUAUUCUGAUUCAAUUCUGUGCUCCAUUAGUGCUAUUUAUGUUCAUUUCCAACCAUGAAAAAAAAAANAAAAAUAUUCGAAACACUAUUCUGAUUCAAUUCUGUGCUCCAUUAGUGCUAUUUAUGUUCAUUUCCAACCAUGAAAAAAAAAAACCUAAUUUAGUUCAUGGGCCAAUCCAGCCCAAUAAUGACUAUUAUGAAAUAUUAAAAUGACUUUUAUUCCUUCAUGAAUACUCUUGAUACAUGCUAUCAUAAAUUAAGAUAGCAAAUUGAUUCGAUUUUUUCAUCAACUUCGGCCAAUCACGUGAUAGGUCAACUGACCAAUAACUUGAAAGUCACGUUUGACUCUAGAUUAAAUCCAACUCGUCGCGGAGAAUUUUCUACUUGAUUCCAACCAAACUCAAAUCAUAUGGUAUUGUAUUGAGUUUGACCAAGUUUCAAAUGUCACAUAACAAGGAUUGAUUGGUUUGUGUGUGUGUGUGUGUUUUUUUUUUCUUCUUUUCUUUUUUUUUUUUAUGCACGCUCAAUCAUAUUUUAAGAUAACAAUUUGCCCAAAUUAAACUUUUUUGAUCGGUACACACUUUUUUUUCUUCACCUUUUGCAGACCGCUUGACAAGUCAAUUGGCCUAUGAUCAUUGCUCUCUUUGCUUUCCCACACUUGUUUGCACAAAAUUUAUAUUUAUUCCUCCUUCUCCAUUGAUGUGAGCAAGAUUGAAAUAGACUCCUGAGUCUUGUCAAACUUUACUUUAAAUUAGAAUCUAGCUUAUUUUGUGGAAUUUUCAACUUGAUGCCAACCAAAACGAAUCUAAUUACAUGAGUUUGGCCACGUUUAAUCUUUGUAUCCAAUAUGAUUCUACUUUGACUAUGAUCGAGUUGAAAGUCAUGCAUAAUAUGUCAUCUUAUCUAGUGAUCUUGUUUUAUUCAUCUUGGAAAAAUCUCAUACAUAUGAAUGAGUUUCACCUGUCCGAAACCCUUUUUAAGUCCUUACGGUUGAUUUUAUAUAUUUUGUCAUCUAUUAAGUUGCCAGUAUUUGUAAAAGCAGAAAAGUAAUAAAUAAAUUUGCAUUGUUCGCAUUUUUUUCUUCUCCAGUUCAGAGUUUUCAAGGGAAAAAGGCCGUACCACUUUGAUCUGGAUUGAGUUUUGCAAUGAACCUGCAAACUUCUUACUUGUAAGGAAACCCGAACAAAAAUCGAUUUAUUGCAAGACAAACCCAACUCAGCCGGCUCGAUUCGAGUUGGUCAGUUCCUGGUCCAAAUGCCACACAUAGGUCAAGCUAUCAUGUUCAAUUUUGUCAGAUGAACAAGGUUUAUUCAUAUCUAAUGUGUCCACUAUAAUAAAGGUUUAGUAAUAUUGUACGCUAUAUUCCCCAAUUGAUGCUCGCCCUCGUACAAAGGAGAGAAAUUUAUCAACUUUUAGCAUUAAAAAAAUCCAUAAAAUAAAUUUGCCGACCAUAGGCUUGAAUAUAUUAUAACUGAUGGGAAUACUCCUUUUUUUGGUUCAAUGCCAAUAGACCAACCAAAUUAUUGCACCACUUUGUGGUUCUCUUUUAGCUAAUAUAAUAGGGUGUCAAUGCAACUCUUAGUGAAGAAGAAAAUCUAAAAACUUGUGGGCCAAUCGGGUUCAGCUUGUCUUGGCAAGGCCCAAGGUUGGCUCAGUCCACUGCCACCCUUGAGUCUGCCGUCGAAUACUUUUAUUACAUGCUUAAUUAUAGUUUAAGAUAACAAAGUAUACCAACUAAACAUCUCCAUCAAUGUCUCUGAACUUGUGCCCAACUAGGCAAGAAGUCGACUGGCCAACAAUCAUAUUUCUCUUGUUACGAUUAGCUCAAGAAAAAUCAGCCCUUUUUUCACAAAAUAUGAAAUAAGAAACUGAAGAUGAAAGAAACAUAAAGAAAAAAUGCAAGAACACGAUAUUUUCACCCGAAGGUAAGAGGUUCGGAACCGAAGUCCCUAAUCCCCUUUUGAGCUUCCGUCACCGGAAGGAAUCACUAUAUUAACCGGAAUUCCAAAUAUUACAGUUCACAGUUCAUGGAACUCAGGCGAAAUCACAUCAAGACUUCACAUACAACAACCCACAGAGCAUAUAUUGAACAUCCACUCAAGGAUCGAACCCUAUGAAACCACUCAAGAUCUACUAUGGGGCUGUAAUAACAAUCAAUCUACAGGGGCUUUGUUUGAGUGCAAAAAGAAACGAAGAACCAACAAAAUGAGAGAGAACAGAGAGUUUGAGAGAGAUGGAGCUGGUAAAAAAUGAAAAGCCACUAAUUCCAUGCCCUAGAAGCCAACACAAUAUAGAAGCAGCUGAAAGAUCUCUCAUCAACGGUGAGAGAGGUGACACUUGGCAAGAUCUGGUGCAUCUGUUCUUAUUAACAAAAACGGGUUUAAUCAAAACACGUUUUUUUAUCUCAAUCCGGUCAGCCCAGUCAGCUCAGCUCAAGUGACAAAUGAUCCAGCCCACAAGCCCAUCAGUUUUAUUCCAGCUCAAUAAUCAUUGUGCCACAAUAAUUUUUCUCUACAUCUCUCUUUCUUUAAUCGUGCGCGUACAAGUUAUUCCUCCUCUAUACAUUGAAGUUAAGUAGAAUAGGUAGGGGUGGACAUUUUAAUCAAGAUCAAACCUUUCGAUUUGGAACCGAACUGGAAAUAUUCUACGAUUUUUUGUUAGAAUAAAAACCGGUCGGCAAUUUGGUUAAAUGGUAUCGACACAAGAACCAAAAAUUAUUGUUCAGUUUCGGAUCUUGAAACACCCAAAUUGGACCAUCCGAUACCUACGCUCUCAGAAUAGAGAGAGACAGGUGAAACUUUAUCAUACUUGAUAGUAGAUUAGUGUUCAACUUGUUUGGUAGAACUUUCAACUCAACCCCAAAUUCCCAACGAGGAAAAUCACUAAGUUUGACGAAAGUUUAAUUUUUUAUCCAAUAUGGUCGUAUUUGAGCAAAAUUGACUAUGAUUUAGAUAAAAAAAAAAUAUUCCACGUCAAUCUAGCCAUCUUUGUUUAGUUCAGCUUGGAAAAAAUUUCAUGCAUGUGAAUAAGUUUCAGAUUUUUGAAACUCUUUUUCGAUAUUUGUGGUCAAUUUUAUAUAUCUUUCUCCAUUAAAGUCCCUAGACUUUGUAUUAAUUUAAAAAGUAGAUAAAAGUAAAUAAUGGAUUCACAUUGUUCCUAACCAUAUUGGAAUUUUCAAGGGAAACAGCCACUCAACCAUUAGUACAUCUUCUGAAGAGGGUCGACCUACCAUGUCCAAUUUUUCAAAUGAAAAAGCUUUAUUAAUAUCUAAUGCCACUACUCGAUUGGAAGUCGAGUAAUAUUGUUCACUAUGUUUUCCUAAUGAACAAUUUUGUUAGAUCUUCAUACGACCACUUUAUGCACUAUAAUAGAAUGUAGAUUAUCAACUCCUAGCAUUCAACAGAUCCAUAAAAGAAAAUUCGCCAACUGUAGGCUUACAAAAUAUAUAUCAAAACAUCGAAAUUUUAUUUCAAAGCACGAAAAUUCAUUCAUAAAUUCAUAGUUUAAAGUUUGGAGUUUUGUCUCCCCAUUGUUGUAUCAAACACCUUUAGGACAAAUCUUGUUCUCGGAAUAUACAAUUUGUUCUCUAAAAUUGAACCAAGUGUAGCAAUCAGCUUCCUUUUUACUUCAGUGUUGAUGCCACCCAUUGAUACAAUUUCUGCCAAUGCUGCUGGUUCCUUAUUCCCUCCAAAUGUUAAGGUUACAGAACCUUUUAACAGAAUCAUCACAAACUACGAAAACAGAAACACACAAUUAGUAGAAAAAGAAGUUCGAAUCCUAUAAAGAAAGGCUUGGAUAAUAAACAUAAGGGCCAAUAAACCGUAAAGGUAAAGUAUAGAAUUUGUUAUACAAAUUGUCAUUGUCUUCUUGCCUAAAGCAUAUGACAGAAUCACUAUCAGCUCGACCCAGCUCUGAUCUUAAGUUGCAUAAAAAAGUGCAAAAUUAAGAUAUCUGUAUCACUUGCCCGACUAACUAUAUAUAGAAGAACAAGUAAUAUAGACAUUCGUUUUGCACUUUUACUACACAACUUUUAUCCAACUUCAGUUCCUAAGUCAAGGAUCGGGGUUUCAACGUCACAGAAAUCUCGCACUGGUGUAAGCUGAUAUCGAUGGUGACUUGCUCAAGGAAGCUUUUAUACAAGAAGUAAAAGUAAAAGUCCUGUCAAAUGGAUCCUAAAUAAAAGUUGGAUUUGUGGGAAGUGUCAAAAUUUUCUUAAGUGUGGUAGGUUAUUCUUUACUGAUUCUAAAACUUCUUUCUGCAGUCAACAUUUCUUUAAUGGUUAUUGAAAAAUUUAGAUUAGAACUUGCUCUAACAAUUUAAAUCAUUAUACAUAUUUUGUUUUUCAUAAAACCUGUCAAAUUCAAGAAAUAGCACUGUUCAUAUGAUGUGAUUCUCCUUCCAAAUAUCCCUCAAAAAUAAAAGAAACCCCCCAAAGAUCAAUAUAGUCCUUCCAAAAAGAUACCUGAAAUGCAACUAUAAAUCUAAAUUUUUUAGUUCUAUGUAACGAUUAAUUCAUCUAAAAGAUUAAGUCAUUAGAGAGACAAUAAAUUAAGCUGAUACAUAAAUUUCUCAUAAAUAGGAAGUUGAAAAAAUUGAACUCACAGCGUCUGUUUUCCCUUAACACCAUUUCAUUUAGCUAAAACCAAGUCAUCUUCAACACAACGGCCCAAAUUGAUUGGACUACUCACUCCUCUCUUUGGUUCAAUGCCAACAGACUUGCUGACAAAAGUAAAACUGUCAUUUGAUAGAUUCCUUAAAUUAGAACUAUUCCUCCAAAUUAUUGCACUAGCUUGUGGUUCUCGUAUUGCCCUCCCUUUUAGCUAAUAUAUGGUGUCAAUGCAAAUCUUAGCUAAAGGAGCAAAGAUUUCAGUUCUUAGGUACGUUGAAUAUUAAAAUAAAAAAUAAAAAAAAAAUUCCAAGGGCCCACAAACCUUUUAUCUUUAAUUUUACGUGAGAAAAGAAGAAACUUGUAGAGUUUAGAUCAUCUCCAACCCUGCAUCAAAAUUUGCACAAUUUUGCACCUAAUAGAAAAUCAUCUUCAACCCAUUACACAAAAAGUUGCAUAAAAUGAAUAGUGUUUAAUAAUUUUCUUUAUUUUUUAAUUCUUAACAAUUUAUUCAUCUCAAAAAUUAUUUAUUUGUUUAUUCAUUUUUUUACUACAUAAAUUUUAAAAUAAAUCAUUACGUUUAGUUAACAAAAAUACUGAAUUCAUUAAUAAGUUAAGAAAAUGUAGCACAAUUAUUAGGAACAUACAAGAAGUAAGAAAAUAUUAAAUCAUAAUACUAAAAAAGAGUGUAAUACGUUUUGAAUCACAAUAUCAUGAUAGUACAAAGUCGAAAUAGUAUUAACAAUUAAUUAUCAUUGAUUACAGAUGCAUGUAAUAAUAACAACAACAACAACAAUAACAAUAACAAUAACAAUAACAAUAAUAAUAAAUUUAGAAUUAAAAUUUAUUGUAUAACAAAUGGACAAAUAUACCCUUAAAAAAUUGGUGCAAAGUGGAAGAAAAGGGUAAAAAUGUAUUUAACCAUUUUGGUGGUGCAAUACUAUUCAUUUGCACCAUUUUGGUGCCAAUAGGUUGGAGGAGAUUUGCACCAAAAAUUUGAUGCAAUUCGGUGAAUUAUGGCGCAAUGGGGAUGGAGUUGGAGAUGCUCUUAGGGCGUUGCAAAUAAGCAUAGAGUUGUAUAUUACUAUGAAUCACCGAAUUCUUAAACGGAAAUGACAAACUUAAGUCAGUCUUUGCACGUGCACGUGGAAUACAUUUAUCAUAAAAUGCCCAACAUAUGCACAAUUUUUAUCAAAGGGGGAUGGGAAAACAGGAACCUUUAUCCGGUGGUGAUUGAUCGAAUGGUCCUCUCCCUUGUUUGUAAAGAACAAUUGGUAAAAGGAAUGAACUUUUGAUAAUUGGUUGAUUUGAAAUGUUGGUUGAAAUAGUUAGAAUAAUGAAUCAAUGCGUCUGUUAUCCCCUCUUACUUUCCCUUUUUAUUGAAUUGUCAAUCCCUAGCUUAAAAGCUUCGAGGUUUCAAGAAACUGCUCGAAUUCUAGCAAAAACAGCUCUUGGGAUCGAGCAAAACACUUAAAACCACAGUAUAUAAACUGAGUUUAAUCAAGAUCAAUACUUAAAACCACAGUAUAUAAACUGAGUUUAAUCAAGAUCAAUUUCCUUCUCCCUCCCAUUCCAUCAAAUCCACAGUACUUAAUUGCUUAAAAUCUUAGUUUUCAAGAAACUGCUACACUUUAAGCAAAAACAGCUCUUCAGUUGGAGCAAGAUCCUUAAACCACGGUACAUAAACUCAGAUAAAUUUCUUCUACCAGCACCAUUGCCAAGGUUAUAUAACAAAAAAUUCUUGUCUGAAAUCUAACAUGACCAAGCCCAUAAUUAUUACAACAUUAAUCCCACAGUAAUAGAGAGAAAGACAGCUUACUUUUUCAGGUUUUCCGAUGAUUUGAGAAACAGCCUUUGUGAGUUCGGAAAAGAUUGAAUCUGUGUUGAUUCCAUCGAGGUUAACGUUGGUUGAAAUAUCAAGACAAGGCAUUUUCCCUCUUUUUUUUCUUGAUUUCUCCUGUCUGUAGGGACUUUUGCUUAUAAUUUUUUUGUGGGCAACUCCUUUUUGUCCACUCACCUUCAUAUAAUUGCUUAUUUAUGGACAAAUUUUAUGUCACAAUCAAGAAUGAUGACUGCCCACCCCAUUGAACAACCUAGUUUCAAUUGAGGUUGCUCUUCUUUUAUUUUACCUGGUUUUGUGAAAAAAGAUUUUUUUCGAUGGGUUUUGAGCAUUUUUCCUAAAUAACUCCAACACAACGAGACGUGUUCAUAUUGUGCAUAUAUUUUUACCAAUACGAAGAAAAUUAAGUUAGCCUCAAUUUGAAGUGAAGUUACUUCACUUUUUGGUCGGUUGUCGACAAGUAGGAAUUCUAACUCUCAAUAUGGUAUCGAGUUGAAUUAUCAUACAUACUAGGAAGAUUCAAAGUGGCAAAACAUGUUUCUCACGAAUUUAAUAGGACUUUUAAAGAAUUAUCAGUACAAUAUAAGUCAUUAUAGACUUAAUUAACUCGAAUCUUUGUAGCAGAAAAAGAUUAUGUAACCGACUUCAUAUUGAUUUACAAUAUGAUUUUAUCUGUCGCAACUUAUUAAUAUUGCAUUACUUGUAAAUAAGCAUAUUUUGAAUGUAUAUUUUGUGUUCCUAUUACACUCUUAGCCUCUAAAGGAUACCUCAUUCAUUUCGUAGAGGCUAGAACCUUGAAUUCUAAGUUCAAAAUAUAUAUGAUGCGAAGUGCUUACAAAGUUAAAGACAUUUGGCCCCGGGGGGCGGGGGUUGCAAAACUGGGGUGGGGGGUCCCCAACUACUUGUGUUCUCACUCAAUAACUUUACAACUUGUUGGUUGCAUUUAUGUAGUUCUUGUCCAUACAUGAUGUUGAAAGCUAGCAAUUUCGACAAAAAUGUUCAGACAACUUUAGUGUCUGUUUGAUACCCAUUAAUUUAUUUUAUGAUUCGCUAAAGAUUAUUUUCAACUAAAUAUUUCACUGUAUCAAAAAAAAUUUCCUACUUUUUAUCUACUCAUUCUCCAAAAAAUCACUAUUCAAAACUUUUUUUUUUCCCCAACAAUAAUAGUUGUCAAACAAGCUCUGAUAUACCCCCAAGUUGAUGAUAAUGUAGGCAAAUCAAGAUUGGAUUUUUUGAUUGUCACUUUCAAUUGUUGGACCGAAACAAAUAAAUUAUUUGAAAGGAGGUUUUGUAUUGAAAUGUUCGUGAAUAAAAGUUGUGUUAUUCGACAUACGUAAAUUGUGUCAUAAACGUGUCUAGUUCCAAUAUUGAAGAGUAAUGUACAAGAUAGCCCAAAAAUAAAAAAUAAAUAAAAAUCAACUUUUCCUAUAUAUUAUGUUUAGUCCAAUACAGCAAAGAUAUGAUAAAGAAGCACUAUAUUUGUUACACUAAGUGAUUGCUCCACUUUAUUUCAUGUAAAAUAAUAUAUCCUCUUGUCCACUUUUUGGCUUGAUGCGAGCAAUUCGUUACACUUUUCUUCAAAUUUAAUAUAGUACAUACAAAUAUUUAGCAUAUAAAAAUUAAAUAUGUGAGAAACUGCUAAUAAAUCAAACCAUAUAAAAUAUUUGAUAAAUUUUUAAUUAGCUUAUCAAAUUGUUAUAAAACGUGUAUUUCUGUCUAUUUUUUAAUUAUUUAUCAAUUGUUAUAUUUGCAAAACAUAUAAACUUUGUAUAGAAAUAAUUAAUUUUUUUAAUUUUUCAAAUAUUCUAGCAAUAUUUAUAAUGAUCUUAUGUAACUCAAAAGUAUACAGAUCUCUAUUCUAAAAAAUAAGAAAGAAAGAAAUGAUUAUUGUGUUCCACUAUGGUAUUUGUAAUUGACCUUCCAUGUUAUUGGACUUAAAUAUUAUUUAAUUAACCGUAUCUCUUUUAUUUAAACACAUAGUCCGUUAAAUCUGUAUCUCUCUUAUUCAAAUAACUUUUAGUUAAAAAGGUCAUUCAAUUGUGUGUUCCACUUGCAUAAUAAAUGCCCUCUUAUCUACUGUCAGCACUAAAUUACUUCCUCCGUUUCAUUUAUGUAGAUUAGUUUUAUUUUUCACAGGAAUUAAAAAAUCUUAUUUAAUGUUUUUUAAAGUGAUUUAUGCCAAAAACAUUUCUAGUUUACCUAUAUUUAUAUUUGUACAGAUUAAAUGAGAAAAAUUAGUUAUAAUCAGAUAAAUUAAAUAUGAGUAUAUUAGUAAAUGAACAAAAUAAAACAUUUAAAUAUGAGUAUAUUAGUAAACGAACAAAAUAAAACAUUCUCAAUAAAGAAAUAUGACUAUAUAUUUGGAAUAAGAAAAUAAGAAAAAUCAACUUAUAUAAACGGGAAGAAGAGAGUAAUUUAUCGUGAAUAGUAAUACAGCCACCUAAGUUUACUCUACCAUUCUUUACCUUAAUUAUGAUAAUCUUAUCGACUCCCGAGGCAUAGCUUAGUGGUGCAAAGGACAGGAGUGAAGUUAUCUCACGCCUUGCUGACAGUCGCAGUGUGAGGAUUCAAUUCCUGAAACAUGGAAUUGGACUCCUUGUAGACGCAGUGUACAGACAGCUCUUGUUCCUUGAUCUGUUGGAGCACAUUCCGCGAUUUACCUCCCUCACCAAGCUCUAAGGGCGGGACGGUGGGAACCCUCAAGGUUGGGGUUCAACCUUUUUUUUUUUAUGAUAAUCUUAUUAAUUUUUUCACAUAAACAAUAAUAAAUUACCUAGCCUAGCAACUGUAUUUGUGGCAUUAACUCAUAAUAACUAUAAUAAUUUUUCUUGAAAUCUGAGAGAGGGGACCGGGCUAAAAGAGUCGCAAAUCGAGGAGACCAAUGAAGAAAAAAGAGAGAUGAAAACAGGAAAGUCCACUUGUCGUUGUCCAUUUGCAAUCAAACAAACGUUUCAUCGUAAGGGGGGAAAAAUAAUAAAAUAAAAAAAUAAAAAAUAAAAGAGGGGUGCCCAUCAAUUAUCAAAACAUUGGAAUAGCCCAAAAUUUGUCACUAAUUUUAUAAGAGUCUAAUCAAUAGCCAGAUCCAUUAAAAACAGAAGUUCCCAAGAAACACAUUGCUUAUCUCUGGUGUCCAUUGCACUGUACAAUAGUAUUUAAUCUCUAUAAACCCAUCCCAGAGCUUUCCAAAACAAUGGAUAAUAAGGAAACUUGCUUCAAAAUUCUCUCGUUUUAUCAAUUUCGACCCACUUUUAACUCUCUCCCAAGACAAUAGCCGAGGCGAAGCACCUUUUACCAACGGCCUUCAAGUUUGUUUCUUGCCAACCUCGGCCCUCGUAUCUUUCAAUCUGUCGUUGCAUUUCUAGUGUCAGCUAAAUGAAUACGUGUUGUGUAAAGAAAGAAAAUUCAUGAAUGUGAAAAAAGGCCAAAAAUGUACGAACAUUGUCCACUGUGCCAUUAGCAGUAUCAGCGCCACCAAUUACAUAUAUGGAUUCGUUUAGAAUGGCAGUAGCUGAGUAUCCCCUGGCUCGGUUAAGAGGCUCAUCUGUCAUCCACUUUCCAAGUCGGGGGUCGUAUAUUUCCAUGCUGCGCACCAUCUCAAUUCCAUCAUAGCCACCAAUGGCGUACCUGAAGGGCAAUAAUCCAUCUUAAGUAAAGUAUUCGCUUAUAAGCACUUAAAAGCACUACCAAACAAACAUUUAAUGAGAGUCACUGCAAGUUUUCGAGACAAUUGUAAGUCAAUUACCUUGUUAAUCUAAAACUUGGGAAGAAUCUUAAAGUCAUACUUACUUUCUAUGAAAUACAGAUUACCAAAGAAAUCUAUAAAAAGGAUCCUCCAACAACCCAAUGGCACAUCCGGAUGGAGUGAAAAAAGACAUACACGCUCUUAAUAUCUCGAGACUAAAUAGUGAAAACAGACAAAGAACUUACAACUUCUCAUUCAUGACAACCAAUGAAUGACAACCUCUUGGUGUUUCCAUACUUGCAAUCCUAGUCCACGAGUGUUCUCUUGGGUCAAAUCUUUCAGCAGACCUGACACGGGUGGUAGAUAAUCUUGGAGAAGCUACUUUCAUAAAGUUUGUAAUAAUUUAAAGUUAAUCGAAAUCUCGAAAGCAAUAAAGCAAGGCACACAUAGAAACAGAAACUUAUAGUUGUUCCCUCUCAAAGUAAGAGCCACAUUCACUUGCUGCUACAGAAAUUCCACUUUAAUCUAAAGGUUUAAUAAUGGGGAUUUGAGCCUGUAAGUGUAUAUUACGUUCUACAUAAAAUAGGGCUCUGCUAAUAUCCUUUGUAUGGUAGAAACAUUAUGGUAACCUGAUAGAAAUAUGAAUGUUCAUAUGCUAUAAUAGUAACUUUGAAAAAUAAAAAUAAUGAUCCCCAUCUGAAUUUGUCAAGAUCAUGUCAUCUUUCCAGAGCAACUAAGGCUCCAUUGCAACCCUCACUUUCUGUUGCUUGCACCUUAUAGUUAACAGAAAGAAGGAAAUAUAAAAUACAGUGACUUCAAAACUUACUUCAAAUAUUCUUUACCAUCAUAUCCACCAACAGCAUAGAUUGCACCAUUGUACUCUGAUGCAGCAAGAGAAAAACGCUGAAAAAGAAAACAGUCAUCCGAGGGCACAUCAAACAACAAUGAUUUAGACUUCAAGAGACAGCAAAUAAUGACGGAUAAAAUCUACUAAACACAUUUAAAAAGAGAGAGAGAGAGAGAGAGAGAACAUACAGACAAUAUUUUACAUGUUUGCAAAAUAUUUCCAUCAUAUCGCUUGUGAUGGAUAUCAGCAUUGGUAAUAAGACUCGUAACAUCACUUUCUCUGGAUCGAAAUACUUUAUAAUGUUUAGGACUCUUAUCACUCAGAAUUUAUUUCUUAACCAUACAUGUUGAUGUUACCAAUCAAACCAAACAUAAAAUGUCGAAACUUCAACACAAUUUUCAAGUAUCAUGAUAAGUGUAUAAUAUACAUUUAUUCGGAGCCUAAAAUAGCAAUAUUUGAUAGUUCUUUUGACAAAUAUAUCCGAAAUUAUUGUAUUUUAUGUUAUAUAGGUAAAACUCAAUUAUUGAACGAGAAAUUGAAAGGAGAAAUUGGUGAAAAAAGGUGAAAUCCAAAGUAUGGGGACUAAAUUUCAACAUUUCAAUAGUUGAUUCAGACGAUGAAACGAAGAUUGAAGAUGUUAUAAGUUUAAUUGGACACAAUUAAAGUUAAAGGACCGAAAUUGCAAGAGAAAAUGACUUAAAAGAAUCAAUAAUCGAAUUCAGGGGCCAAAACGCAAAGUUUGAAAUCCAAGUGACCACUCGACUUAAGAAAUAAAAAGCAGUGACUUCAAACUUGGCCUGGGCGAGUACUCAGAUUUUGCCUUGGCAAUCUAAGAUCACGACCAGUUUUUUAUUCCACAUUCUACAUGAAAACCACUUUCUUGUAUGAUAUUGAACUAAUUUCACCUUUAUAAAUACAAAACAUUGGCAGUCAAUAUAAAACAUCUCUCAUAUACACAAUAUACUCCAAUAUUCCAUCAAUUCAUACACUAAAGGAAAGGCAAAUUCAUAGUUUUCGUGAGAGAAUUUGCAAGAAUUCAAUCAAAUGAACAUUUAAUUGAUUUUUGGGCAAAGGAGAAAAUGCGCAAGUGGAGAUUCAUCAAAAAACUAUCAAAGAGAUUCAAGAUUUCAAAAUUCAUCUUCAUCUUUUCAAUUUAUCAAAAAUUCAAGUUAUGUCUUUUCACUUAAAUAUGAUUUCUUGUAAUUUCAAUAUGUUAGUCUUAUUUUGUACAUUGCUAGAAUGAAAUGAACCAUUGCUUUGAUAUUUUUAGUUUUUAAUUAAUUAUUUUUACUUUAAUUUGGUUUGAUUUGUGGAUAUUUAUUAUCGUUUUUAUCGUUCUUUUCAAUUGUUUGAUCAUCAAUUGAAUUGUUAGUGAAUUUUAUUGUUAUCGAGAAAAACAAUAGAGUUUAAGUACAAUAUAAUAAACAUUGUAAAGUUCGAUGGAUGAUAGAGAUAUACCUCUAUACUUUAUAUGAUUUCAAUGGAUGUUCUAGUACUUGUUAAUGCAUUUAUCAUGUUUGCAUCUUUUAUCGAAAGAUAGAAUUGUCACAUGAGAAGAAUAGAUUUAAUCGUUAUCAAAAGAUGCUUUCAAUUAAAUCAAGAACAUUGAUCAAUAUGAAUGAUUUCAAAUUGUCAUUUUAAUUUUUACACUAAAAUUGAAAUAACAAUGGGGAUUCAACAUCUUAACAAUGCAUUUCACAUAUUUAAAAAACACAUUUAUUUGCUUUCACUAGUUUAAUUGAUAAUUUAGGAAUUAGUAUAGAAAAAUCACAAAACUUGUUUACUAUUAGAUUAAACUUGCAUUUAAUUUUAACUCGGUCAAAUAUAUAGUUCUCGUGAGUUCGACACUCUAUUUAUCAUUAUAUUACUAGACCACGAUCCCGUGCACUUGCGGGUUUCUAAAUGAUCAUACCAUAAAGAUGAAAUGCGUUGCAAUUAAGAAGAAAAAAGAAACUAAAUAAGAAAAGCACCAGCCUAAAAUUGUUAUAUAUUGAAGCAUGGAUUAACUUUUAUAUCUUCAGCAAAAAGCUAGAGUCUACAAAGUCUUGAAGUUUAACAGAGAAAGAAGUACAGAAAAUGUAAAAAAAUUCUUCUGUUGGAACAAUUCUUUAUAAAUUAUGAUCAAUAUAAUCUAUGAUCUUUAUCAAUAAGUAUAUUUAAUUUAGUAAGUCACCUUUUGUAGCAUAGAGCGUGUCGAAAUCCAUCGUCCAACUUCCGAAUCGAACAUUUCAACACAUGAAAAGCUUUCAACUCCAUUUCCUCCACCUAAUGCAAAGAUUUUUCCAUCUAACACAGCACUAGCUAAGUUUCCCUUUCUCUCAUUCAAGGGUGGGCGUAGAGUCCAUUGAUCGUUAAAAGGAUUGUAUGACUCAACUUAAAAAAAAGCAUAAAACUGUUAAGCGAGAGAGAGGGAGAGGGGAGGGGGGGAGAGAGAGGGGAGGCACAAGUAAACACCUGUAUCAUACCACAAAGCGCCAUUUCCACCACCAAAAACGUAAAGUUCUGCAUUUAACUUAGCAACUGAGGCAUAUGCUCGUACGGAAGACAUGGGCUUCAGAGAUUUCACCACAUCAUGUAAAGGUGAAUACGAAUGCAAUGCUGAUGACCAUGAUUCACCAUCAUAUCCUCCCACUAGAAAUAUUAAUUCAUCAAGAUUGAGGUGAAGUCCAUCAAAUGACACCACUGCUUCCUCAGCCUGUGUCACGAAAAGACACGACCCAGACUCCAAUGCCAUACAUCUAUUUUCCAGUCGAUAAAUUUCUUCUUCUGCUACAACCUGAAAUGCCAUGGUGAAAGGGAAUGUAAGUACCUGUCAGCAUUGAUAAUAAAAAGACUGACACAAUUUUGUCGAACAAACCAUUUAUGCAGCAAAGGUCCAAAGCAUAUUAUUGUGCAAGAAGAAGGCGGCAAAGCUUCAACUGUUAGAUGCUUCAGAGUAAAAGCUCAAAUAUAGAUAUUUCUUUAGGAAUGCAAUGAACCAAAAGAAGAAAAGUCAUGCAGGAGUAAGACUAUUUUCUCUAUAAAUCCUUUCUGGACUGCUAUUGUUAGAUUGAGUUUUUCUUUUUUAAUGUCAAGUUAGUAUUUUUUUGGUUUCCAACUGGUAUUAAGAUUACUUUUCCGAGUGAUUAAAGUCUUCCUAGUCAUAAAAUGUUUUGUACAUUGAUGUUUUCAAGAGCUUAAAAGGUCGGAAAAAUAAAACGAGGAGUUCUGAAAUUUAUGAAUUCCUCAUCGAGUAUAUUUGAAGAAACAGAAACUUUUGACUCAUAAGAAGAAAUUGAUACGGAAUAGCUAAUCCUUUUACUUCUAUAUGCCAACUAAACAAUAUAUAUAUAUAUGAUUUCAGUAGCUCAAAUCCAAAUCUUGAUUCUUUUAUACCUUUCACCUUUCAUUUUGUCCGAUUUUCAUAUAAUUCAAGAACUACACUGCCUACAUGAACAUAUAUCUAGCUUCCUUAUGAGUUUCAAUUUACUUCCUGGAAUAUAACGUGUUAAACCAUGUGAUGAAUCUAGGUUUUUCUUUGUUUUUUUUUUUUUUUUUUUUUUGGGUUAUAUAUAAUUUUUUUUUUUUUUUUUUUUUUUUUUUUUGGGUUAUAUAUAAAUCUGAAAUUUGCCGGUUUUUUCAUUAUUGCAAUUCUAUGUUUGUAAGCACCAAAAUACAUUUGAGAAAAAGGCCAAGGUCCUUGACAGAUUCCAUUCAACAUGGGUAAAAUAAUUGAUUACGUUUUUUAAGAGUUGUCUGUGAAAGAAAAUGUACCAGCUUCUUUUCUAAACUUUCCAUCUUCUGAGUUUGCUCUUUCUUGAAAGCCUUUAGUUCUUCAAUCUCCUGGCACAACUGCAUUCAACAUAUAAAUAUAGGAGUUAAUGAGUUAUAUAUCUCAAUGGGCAUAAGCAACAGUGGAUACAACAGCAUACCUGUGUUAUUACAACAGGAUAACAAGAUAAAUUAAAAGAACGUCCAUUAUUUCCCUCUUCUGAAGCCACUGGAGCUUUUUCAGCAGUUUCAAGCCCCAAAAAAUCAUCCGCUAUGGCAGAUUCUACUGCAUUUCCUUCCUUAACCGCAUCGGUGUGCCCACCAUUGGGUUGCAAUUCUUUUAAUUUCAUGUAGAUAAAAUUCUUUUGAUCAACAUCUACCAUUUGAUUUUGCAAGGCUGCCUCUGGGAAUUGGUUAUUUCCAUCCAAACACAGAGAAUCAUCUUUAGCACCCAUUGUACCAAUUGCAUCAUAGGAGAUUGCAAAAUUAUCUGUUGAAGAUGGUGGAUAUGAAGUUCCAUUCUCCUUUCUAUUGUCAUUUGAAGGGAACCUCAGCAACGUAGCUGUCCUAUUUUCUGCAAUUUGUGGUAUAAACGUGCUUGGAGAAACUGCUAAAGAAGAAAGUUUGGACAACAACUUGCUUGCUUGAGCAUGAUCCAGCUCAAACCAGAAAUGGUUUAGAGAGUAAUAGUUGUCAACGAUUAUUGGCUUAUACUGAAGUUCAGGAAGUGCUUGACAUUGAGUCCGCAUACGAAUCUGAACCUUUUUGCAUAAAAAACAAAUGAAACAAAAAUAAAACAUAAGGCUUUUCUAAGACAAGAAGCCAGAUAACACCAACAAAUCCAUCGAUUUCAACUAUAGAAAUUGUUGAACCACCUCAUUUAAAAAUUUAAGCUGAUAGAGAAGACAUGUUUAUAUAUUUAAAUUUAGCCCCUGUUUGAUCCCCAUUUUUGGGGAAAAUGUAUUAUGGAAUAGUGAUUUAUUGGAGAAUGUGUGGUUAAAAAGUAAGAAUUUUUUUUGAAAUACGUGUAUUAUUAUUUUAUAGAAGAAUGUGUGGUUGAAAAUGAAAAGUAAAAAAAUGCAUUCUUAUAAAAAUGGGGAUCAAACAGGGGCUUAGUCUUCUGCACAUCCCCUCAGGUAAAGGUUGGGUUUAUUUUUUCAUCAUAGACUUGACAUGUCCACAACUUCCAUAAAUGGGUGGAGGUGAAAUUUGAUCUCAUCUUUGCCUACUUUAAUACCAUGUUAUACCAUCUUAUUUAAAAGUUUAAGCAGUUAAAGGAAAAUAUUUAUUCAUUCAUACUUUAGUCUUCAACAUAAAAAACAAUAAACUCAAGGAGACUGCUAUACAAUACCUGAGCUGGAUAUGGUGUUUUCUCUGAACCAUCUGAUGUCCAUGCGUAAGGAUUGAUGUUCAGUUGGCCGCAGCUGGCAGCUUCAAAAAUACCAUGAAUUGUUCUAUCGCUGUAGUUAAACAAAAACAGCGGCAAACCGGGCUCUAUAUUUUUUACAUACACAAAGUGAUGAGCUGGGAGGCCUAUUGAACAUUAAAAAACAUACAUGAGUCUCAGAAUAAAGAUUCUAAACUCUAACUAAUUAUACGAUUGUCUUUUUAACAUAUUAGUGUUCAUAAGAUGUUAUUUAUUCUUAAUUAAGAUUCAACAAGGAGGGUUUUACUGCAUUAAGCACUCAAAUAUAAUAACUAACCAAAGAGUUGUUUAGAGAGGCAUUCUCUGAAAGUUCCUCUCGUGCAACCAAAUAUUACACCUCCAAGCUGACUUUUUCUCAAAUUUCUAGCUGAUGCAGCAUAAGACGCCUUCGAUGCAAACGAAGGUGAAGCUUCAUUCAGUACAAAUGUCUGUGUUUUCUUCCCACCUCCCAUUUCUUCAAAGAGAGAGAGAUGUAAAAUAAAAAUAGUGAACCGGAUACAGCUUGAAUCUAGAGUAAAGACUUCAAAUUGCAAUAACAUUAAUUAUCUGAACACAACAAAAUGUGUAAUGAAGAAAUGAACAUUGAGAAAUGGAAAAAAUGUCUUCUGAAGCCAAAGGGGUGAAGAUCAUUAUGUAAAACAUUAAAUACUAAGGAGAUUUGGGAAAGAGUAACGUAAUUUGAUCAUCAUUUGUUGAUGCGUAAUAAAUGCUACAACAAAAAUUCAAAUCCAUUCACAAAUAAAAAAGAUGAAAAAACUGGAAAUAAGAAAUCAUCCAAACACGUAUACGUAGAGUGCUGAAUAACAAAUCUGACUUUCAAAUUCUAGAACUUCAGUUAUUAAGACUCUUUUGUACUACUUCUCAUUAAAAUAACAUUAUAUAUUGCACAAAAUCUUGACAAUAAGAAAAAGAAAGGGAAGUGUUACAGUUUAUCAUACUCAAAAUGAAACCAAACCAGAAUAUCCUUCACUCUAAACAUUGUUAAGGGAAAAUCUAAAUUUCAAAUCAAUCAUAAAUAGACUGUAAAGGAUACUGCUUGUAUAUAUUCGAAAAUUCAUUUUCAUCAUUCACUUGAAUUUGCAACUUUUAUAAAUUGAAAAGAUCUUAACCCUUGACAAAACUUUCCAUGAUUCUAUUUCCUAACUUUAAAAGGCGAUUAUUAACAAACAUUAAGAAAAGGCUUGAGCCUUAUCACUUAUCACUAAGAGAUUUACUUCCUAACUAUCUACCUGUAAACACUAAGCUCAGAACAACAAGUAUGCAGUUACCAUGAUUAGAAACCCCCCCCCCCAACCCUAAGAAAUUUGUAACCAUUAACAAAGCUUUCCCUGAUUUCUCUUCCUAUAACUUCAAAAGCCAUCGACUAACAAAUAUCAAGAAAGGGCUUAAACAGAACCAGCCUUCCCUGUUAUCUCACUAAGAGUUUUACUUCAAAACUAUCAACCAAUACCAGAAAAACGAAAAAUCAUGCCCCCAAACAACAAAUAAGCAAUCAUCCAUGAUUACGCCCGCCAUCCUAACAAAUUUGUGCGUAACAAUCAUCAUAAUCCUUCCCAAGCAAAAAAAGAAAGGAAUUUCCCAUCCACAUUGAACCUCCUAGGCCAUAGAUAUAACAAUGUGAACGUCCACAAAGCGAAAACUCAAACCUCAAUGGGUAAAUUCGACUGUCACUUCAAAGAAACUGAUAAGAACCAAAACCCAGAAGUGCAACAAUCGUACUAAAAAUUCUCUCUGAUGAAAUUCAAAAUGCAUUCAAUAAAAAUCGAAUAAAGCAUUUUUUUUUCUACAACGGCAAAUAAAAUGGAAGUAAAACAUGAUCCGAUUACACGAUCCACACCAAAAUGAAAAUAAUAAUAAUAAUAAUAACUAAAAAGAAAAGGAAAUAACUCCAAACCCACAUAGCAAAAUAACCCAACUCGACAUUCAAUCAAUCCACAUUCUUAAAUCAAAUAAAUGAAAUAACAAAAAACCAUUUUUCCCAGCAUACACAUUUAUGUGCUUAUGAAAUUAAAUACAUGAUUGUGUUAUGCAAAUUUCCUGGGCAAAGAACCUGUAUAUAAAGUGUAGGUAGAAGACUGAGACACUCCCAGUGAAAGACAAAGCGCGAAAUAAUCUCUUGCUUUUAAUAAUGUAAGUUUGAUGGACAGAGCACCCAGGGCGCAGGUUAGCAUCUGCACCUACAAGGUACCUUCAUUAUUUGUGUUUUUCCCAUAUAAAAAUUAGGAUAAUACUACAUGUACACAAUCUUUUACACACUACUCACAACAUAAAGUGAGGAUCACAGCUCGAAUUAUUUAAUAACAGGUGGGACCCACAUGUUUGUGAGGAGGUGUAAAUCAUUUGGUAACCCCCUCAUGUGUACAUAUAUCUUUAUCCUAAAAAUUAAGAAAAGAGGUUUCAUUUUAUUGGGGAAAAUUGUGGCAGAGCCUUCAAACUUUUAAAAUAUUAGCAGUCUUUUUUCAAACUUUUAAUUUGUUACAACCGUCAUCCCAAACCUUUCAAAAUAUUGCAACAGAGGCCCUUUUUAACUAUUUUCAUCCAAAUGUCUAUUAGUUAACAAAAAAAUUUGAUUUUAACCAUAUUUUUAAUAUUUUUAAAGGGUAAAAUAGUAACUUUUCAUUUAUUACAUUAAAAUAAGUUAGAAAUUAGAAAAUAAAAACCAAUAGUCUUUAUCCUCCCACGCCACCCCACCCCCAACCCAAAAUCACUUCCCGACCACCUCCACCUCCACCUCCACCUCCAUUCCCAGCCAUAAAGACUCAAAUCAUAAUGUACCCACAGAAAUAAGUUUGGAAGGGAAGAAUGAGGAUUAUAGAGAAAUUGAGGUUUUAUGGGUGGUUGCCUCUCUCCAAAGUCGAUAAUUUUUAGUCAACUAACAGAUGUUUAGAUGAAAAUCAUCAAAAAUGGCCUCUGCCACAAUGUUUCGAAAGAUUUGGGGUGACGGUUGCAACAAAUUAAAGGUUUUAGAAAAGGCUGCUAACGUUUUAAAAGUUUAAAGUCUCUGCUGCAAUUUUUCCUUUCAUUUAAACACGUUUUUAUGUGAAAACCCUCCAAUUGAGGAAAAAAAGAAACACACAUUUUCUCCUUCGAUUUACGCCUUGAAUAGUUAAAAUUCACCCUCCAAUUGAGGAAAAAAAGAAACACACAUUUUCUCCUUCGAUUUACGCCUUGAAUAGUUAAAAUUUUCUUAAAAGAAUGACUUAAGGGAUUUAGAGCACUUCGAUACUGGCUUUAUCCAUGAUAAAAUAUCACGAGUUCAAAUUUUUUUUAAGAAAAAUAUUUGACUAUAUUUUGCUCAUAAAUACAUGCCACCUACAAAUUUCAUCUAUUAAUAAUUUUUCGCUUUUUUAUUAUGAUGGUUUGAGUAUUAAUAAAUUUUCAUUAUAUUGAGAUUCUUUUAAUAAAGGAAAAGGUCAAUGACAUUUAAAUUCAUUUUUUCUUAUUAAUUGAAGAUUUUAAAGACUAUUUUUUUUUUCUCCAGAUUGCAGAAAAAUUUUCAUUGUUCAUUUUUUAAGUGGAAUUGAAUGAUUAAAUGUUUAUAACAAUAUAUCCUCACAUUCUUUCGUGAAGAUUUUAAUUAAUUACAAGAGUUUUAUGUACACAAAUUCAAUUCAAUAAAGUGGAUAAAUCAUGUCCGUUAACUCCCUAGUAUAUACAAAUGUUCUAGAUAUGUUUUGUGCGUUGUAUAAUACGAUAAAAGAAUAUAUACUUUACAUUUUUAUAUUUUAUUUUAGAAAUAAUAUAUUUUAUUGUUACAUACAAAAACUUAAACCUAUGUAUGGUCUAUAGAAGCAAAUUAGAACUUUCAAUAAGAAAUUUUCAUUCGCGAAGUGUCUAAAAAUAACUUUGCAGAGUAAAUACAAAAUAUAAACAUCUUAAAUAAAGAAUUAAAUUAAACAAAAUAAAAUAAUUUUAAAGCAUAUGCACGAAUAAAUUAUUACUCGCAUUUAUACAACACUUAGGCAAUGUUUGAUAGCUAUUGGAAUUCCAUGAAAAAUGGAAUUUCAAUUCCAUCUUUUACCUUUCAUUGUUUGAUAGCAUUUAUUUUCUCUAAAAUUCAUUUUCUUACUUUGUUACCACCUCAAUCAAAUUCCAGCUUUUUGAUAAAUUUGAAUUCUCACCAAAAUGGUGAGAAUCCAUUUUUCCGGUUAUAGGAGCUUUUUUUUUCCUUUUUAUUUUUAUUUUUUUCAACGGAAACAAAUUCUAAGAAUUAUUGUAAAAAAAUAUUUCCCUUUAAUUGACAAUUUUCAUGUAAAACAAAGUUAAACAAACACCAAAAGAUAAAUAUUUUCUUGAUUUUUUUUUUGCAGUGGAAACAAAUUAUAUCCCCAAUACCAGUAAAUUUUUUGAACAUAUGAGGUACUCUAUCAAUUUUGACAAUUCUCUCUCUCUCUCUCUCUCUCUC